rnacentral:lncRNA from 8 species
CCGACAUUCUGCUAAUUUUCUCAUCAUGAAACAUUUGAUCUCAAUACAAUUUUCUGUUUCCAAAACGGGAAUCUGUUACGAACAUAGUGGACUAAGUCCCGUAGACUUUAUCGUUUGCCAAAGUUAACAAACAAAAAAAUGCGUGGUUCACAAGGGGUGCAAGGGCGAAUUGAGUUGAUACACACGCGCACUUCAGAGUAGGCGUUCCCUAAUGGAAUAUGCAAGCGUAUGCUAGAUCGCGCCAAUAGGCUCUUGUUAGCUCUUGUUUGGCUCUGCCCACUUACUUGCUUGUUCUUCCCACUAUGAUUAAUUUUCUCCCAUUUGAAACAACAGGCUGUGGUCUAUCUUGUGUUAGUUAUACAAAUCUUUGGUCGUGGGAGGGAACCUCCGCUCGCUGGGGCUCGAGCAGGAAGGAUGCGCUGCAGGCUUUAGCAGAGACAAGAAAAGUGUAGUUUACAGUUCAAACGGAAGAUAAAUGACAGCUCAUAUUGCAGCCUGGACAUCUUACAUUUGGAAUUCGUAGAAGACCCUCGAUUUACCACCGCCAGCUGUCCUGCCAGGUACCACAAUGCCAAGUCCUCAUGUUUUACUGGGAGAUUCCCCCUUCAUGAGAACCUCAUGCGCCCUUAUCCAGCUGUCCAUCUCAAUGAACCUGGGCGUACCUACAACUACCGCCACUCUCGUUGUCGGAUAGUCAUAGAGAAUGCAUUCGGCAUGAUGGCUGCAAGGAUGAGUUCUUGGUUGCCCAAUCAAGUGUACCCCUGAAAAC